AGUUGGCGCACGGGUGCGUAACGCGUGGGAAUCUGCCCCUUGGUUCGGAAUAACAGUUGGAAACGACUGCUAAUACCGGAUGAUGACGUAAGUCCAAAGAUUUAUCGCCGAGGGAUGAGCCCGCGUAGGAUUAGGUAGUUGGUGUGGUAAAGGCGCACCAAGCCGACGAUCCUUAGCUGGUCUGAGAGGAUGAUCAGCCACACUGGGACUGAGACACGGCCCAGACUCCUACGGGAGGCAGCAGUGGGGAAUAUUGGACAAUGGGCGAAAGCCUGAUCCAGCAAUGCCGCGUGAGUGAUGAAGGCCUUAGGGUUGUAAAGCUCUUUUACCCGGGAUGAUAAUGACAGUACCGGGAGAAUAAGCUCCGGCUAACUCCGUGCCAGCAGCCGCGGUAAUACGGAGGGAGCUAGCGUUAUUCGGAAUUAC
rnacentral:rRNA from 1 species